GCGGGUAUGGUUUAAUGGUAAAACAUUAGCCUUCCAAGCUAAUGAUGCGGGUUCGAUUCCCGCUACCCGCU
rnacentral:tRNA from 1 species